rfam:Micromonas sp. RCC299 chromosome 2, complete sequence.
UCUUCCGCUCAUACCACCCUGAAUACAGCGAUACCCAUCAGAACAUCGAACUUAAGCAUGGUUGGGCAGGAUUAGUACUAGGCUGAGGAAUCGCCCGGGAAUCCCCUGUGGUGGAAGGU